rnacentral:lncRNA from 1 species
GAUACAGAUAGAUGAGAGCUAGUACAAGACCAUAGUUGAACUAUGGCAUCAAGUAAACGAUGUACUCAAAACCAUAAGACGUUCUCCAAUUUGAUAAAUAUUGGCAAGUGAUUAAGACUAAAUAUGGGAAUUUGAUAAAACAUUAAGGGUCAUUUGAAAAAAAAGAAAUGAAAGUUUGAGUUAUGAUAAAUUCAAUUAUGUUUAGCUAAUAUUCGCACGAAAUAAAGUUGCAUGUAUUACUGAGAUAUGUGAAAAUGUGUUCAUAACAAGUUGGAAAUUUGAAAUGUUUGAAUCAAUAUGCGUAAAGCUAUAUUGUUGUUGAAUAUGUAUUUGCUUGAGAGUCAAAAGUUUAGAGGCUUUACAAUCUUCGCCCCCUUACCAGAAUAGAGUUAUACGAUGAGAUUCUCGAGAGAUAUGUUGCAUAAGCUUGCAAAAGUGAAACUAAAAAGUAUAAUAAUGGAAUAGUAUGGGAUUAGUGAAGACAGAAUUAGUUAGAGGAAUAAUGUCAGACUUGCACUGAUGUUUGAGUAUGUCGGAUUCAAUCAAAUAAAAGUGAUGGCUAUCUUUCUCUUCUGAGUAUUCUAUGUUUUCCUCAAUUCUGGGGAAUACGUAUGGUUAUCCCUUUCGAAUGGAAAUUCUAUCAUACGAGGAUGCUAGUGACUGUGAUAUUAGAUGAAAAGCUCUAUUGGUCCAGUUAGUUAUAAUUGACAUUUUCCCCAUCUCUUCAGAUUUCUAUUCUGAUAUAUUGGAAUGAAGUUGAU